rnacentral:rRNA from 1 species
GAGCCUGAGAAACGGCUACCACAUCCAAGGAUGGCAGCAGGCGCGCAAAUUACCCGAUCCCGACACGGGGAGGUAGUGACAAUAAAUAACAAUACGGGGUUCUUUCGGAUCUCGUAAUUGGAAUGAGUACAAUUUAAAUCUCUUAACGAGGAACAAUUGGAGGGCAAGUCUGGUGCCAGCAGCCGCGGUAAUUCCAGCUCCAAUAGCGUAUANNNAAGUUGUUGCAGUUAAAAAGCUCGUAGUUGAAUUUCGGGGUUAGUAGGUUGGCCAUGCCUCUGGUAUGUACUGGUCUCACUGAUUCCUCCUUCCUUAUGAACCGUAAUGCCAUUAAUUUGGUGUUGCGGGGAAUUUGGACUGUUACUUUGAAAAAAUUAGAGUAUUUAAAGCAGGCUAACGCUUGAAUACAUUAGCAUGGAAUAAUGAAAUAGGACGUUCGAUCUUAUUUUGUUGGUUUCUAGGAUUGACGUAAUGAUUAAUAGGGAUAGUUGGGGGCAUUAGUAUUCAAUUGUCAGAGGUGAAAUUCUUGGAUUUAUUGAAGACUAACUACUGCGAAAGCAUUUGCCAAGGAUGUUUUCAUUAAUCAAGAACGAAAGUUAGGGGAUCGAAGACGAUCAGAUACCGUCGUAGUCUUAACCAUAAACUAUGCCGACUAGGGAUCGGAUGAUGUUAAUUUUUUAAUGACUCAUUCGGCGCCUUACGGGAA